UUUUAUUUUUAUCUUUUUACAUAUUUCUCCUUUUUUUUUCAACUUUUUUUAAUAAUUUUACGGACUCACUACAUUUAUGUAAUGAGAAAAUCGAGACCAUUUAAAUUUUAUUAAAAUAAUUAGAUUUUGAAUUUAUCCAACAAAUUAGUAUUAAAAAUAUGAGUUAAAUGUGUUUUUGGUCUUAAAAGAAAUUUGUUGGUAAUUCUACUUCAUAUUUUUCUUAUAAAUGUUCUGUUUCACAUUUCUAAUGACAUUUUUU
rnacentral:lncRNA from 1 species